rnacentral:rRNA from 1 species
GUGGAAACGCCUUCUAUUACCGGAUACGACCUCUUACCUCCUGGUGCGGGGUGGAAAGUUCUGUCGGUCGGGGAUGGGCUCGCGGCCUAUCAGCUUGUUGGUGGGGUAACGGCCUACCAAGGCGAUUACGGGUAGCCGGCCUGAGAGGGCGACCGGCCACACUGGGACUGAGACACGGCCCAGACUCCUGCGGGAGGCAGCAGUGGGGAAUAUUGCGCAAUGGGCGAAAGCCUGACGCAGCGACGCCGCGUGGGGGAUGACGGCCUUCGGGUUGUAAACCUCUUUUACCACCAACGCAGGCUCCCGGUUCUCCGGGGGUUGACGGUAGGUGGGGAAUAAGGACCGGCUAACUACGUGCCAGCAGCCGCGGUAAUACGUAGGGUCCGAGCGUUGUCCGGAAUUAUUGGGCGUAAAGAGCUCGUAGGCGGCGUGUCGCGUCUGCUGUGAAAGACCGGGGCUUAACUCCGGUUCUGCAGUGGAUACGGGCAUGCUAGAGGUAGGUAGGGGAGACUGGAAUUCCUGGUGUAGCGGUGAAAUGCGCAGAUAUCAGGAGGAACACCGGUGGCGAAGGCGGGUCUCUGGGCCUUACCUGACGCUGAGGAGCGAAAGCAUGGGGAGCGAACACGAUUAGAUACCCUGGUAGUCCAUGCCGUAAACGUUGGGCGCUAGGUGUGGGGACUUUCCACGGUUUCCGCGCCGUAGCUAACGCAUUAAGCGCCCCGCCUGGGGAGUACGGCCGCAAGGCUAAAACUCAAAGGAAUUGACGGGGGCCCGCACAAGCGGCGGAGCAUGUUGCUUAAUUCGACGCAACGCGAAGAACCUUACCAAGGUUUGACAUCACCCGUGGACCUGCAGAGAUGUGGGGUCAUUUAGUUGGCGGGUGACAGGUGGUGCAUGGCUGUCGUCAGCUCGUGUCGUGAGAUGUUGGGUUAAGUCCCGCAACGAGCGCAACCCUUAUUCCAUGUUGCCAGCACGUGAUGGUGGGGACUCAUGGGAGACUGCCGGGGUCAACUCGGAGGAAGGUGGGGAUGACGUCAAGUCAUCAUGCCCCUUAUGUCUUGGGCUGCAAACAUGCUACAAUGGCCGGUACAAUGGGCGUGCGAUGCCGUAAGGUGGAGCGAAUCCCUAAAAGCCGGUCUCAGUUCGGAUUGGGGUCUGCAACUCGACCCCAUGAAGGUGGAGUCGCUAGUAAUCGCGGAUCAGCAACGCCGCGGUGAAUAC